rnacentral:lncRNA from 1 species
AAAUAGAACAAGCUUCAAUCAUAUGAGCACAGAAAACAAACAAAUAAGGAAACUUUAAGUUCUUGCAUAACAGAAGAUACUAUCCAAAUUUUAGGUUCUGGACAUAUAGCAAUAGCACCCCAUAAUAAAACCAUAGAUAAUCUAAACCAAAAGAAUUCAAAAGUAAAAGCCCUUUAACAUAAGGGAAUGCAAAAUACCCUCUAGAAGACAAGCUCAUGCAGUUUCAUGCCAGACUUGAGAGAAAACCU